UUUUUACACUUUGUACAAUUUUACACUGAAUUAUAAAAUUUUUCGUUUUGGAAACCAAUAUUAAUAAAGGGAAGCUAAAAUAAUGUCAUCAAGAAAGAGGAUUCAAUCCAUAAUCUCGCAGGCUGUUAAAACAGCUGUCGUCAACAAGCCUAACUUACGUGUGAUUCAUAUGAGCUGUCCCUGUCGGCAGGACGGUAUGGCGUGCCCCGCGGUUUUGCUUAGGUACUACAGAACCUCGACUUAAAUCCCUAAUAAGUAGGUCAAAUUCUUCGUAGCUAUUUCGUAGUUUGGCAGCUUAGAUCU